AGGGUUGUAGCUCAGUGGUAGAGCACUCACCUCGAAUGUGUGUGAGACCCUGGGUUCAAUCCUC
rnacentral:tRNA from 1 species